rnacentral:rRNA from 1 species
GCUACGGGCGGCAGCAGUGGGGGAUAUUGCACAAUGGGGGAAACCCUGAUGCAGCGACGCCGCGUGGGUGAAGAAGCGCCCCGGCGCGUAAAGCCCUGUCAGCAGGGAAGAAAAUGACGGUACCUGAAGAAGAAGCCCCGGCUAACUACGUGCCAGCAGCCGCGGCAAUACGUAGGGGGCAAUCGUUAUCCGGAUUUACUGGGGGUAAAGGGGGCGCAGACGGCGAUGCAAGCCAGGAGUGAAAGCCCGGGGGCCAACCCCGGGACUGCUCUUGGAACUGCGUGGCUAGAGUGCAGGAGGGGCAGGCGGAAUGCCUGGUGUAGCGGUGAAAUGCGUAGAUAUCAGGAGGAACACCGGUGGCGAAGGCGGCCUGCUGGACUGCAACUGACGUUGAGGCCCGAAAGCGUGGGGAGCAAACAGGAUUAGAUACCCGGGUAGUC